rnacentral:ncRNA from 1 species
CAAAGGCUUGGUCCUGGCCUUACUAUCAACUAUUUCUCAACUUACACAUGCAAGUCUCAGCACACCAGUGAGAACGCCCUCUAGCCUCCACCAGGCCAAGGAGCCGGCAUCAGACACAAUUCCAGUCCACAACGUCUAGUCUCACCACACCCCCAAGGGCAUUCAGCAGUGAUAAAUCUUGAGCAUAAGCGACAGCUUGACUCAGUCAGGGAAAAGAGAGCCGGCCAAUCUGGUGCCAGCCGCCGCGGCUACCCCAUGGGGCUCAAGUUGAUAGUCACCGGCGUUAAGCGUGAUUAAAGUCAAAUUAGAUUAGGGCCAAAUUAAUACUUAGUAGUCUAAAGCUCGUUAUUAAGAAGAACACAAACGAAAGUUGCCCUAACUUAUACACUUGAAUACACGACAGUUGGGGAACAAACUGGGAUUAGAUACCCCACUAUGCCCAACCGUAAACAAUUAACUUACACCAAUAAGCGCCAGGGAACUACGAGCAAUGCUUAAAACCCAAAGGAUUUGACGGUGUCCCACCCCACUAGAGGAGCCUGUUCUAUAAUCGAUGAUCCCCGAUAUACCCCACCACUCCUUGCUUAUCAGUCUGUAUACCUCCGUCGAAAGCUUACCGUAUGAACGUCUACAGUAGGCUCAAGGACCCGCACAGUGGGUCAAUACGUCAGGUCAAGGUGCAACUUAAGGAAUGGGAAGUAAUUGGCUACAAUUUCUAACUUAGAACAAACGAAAGACUAUGUGAAACCAUAGUAACGAAGGCGGAUUUAGCAGUAAAAAGAAAAUAGAGAGUUCUUUUUAACCCGGCUCUGGGACGCGUACACACCGCCCGUCACCCUCUUCGAUAGUGCUAUUACCCAGUCCCUAACCCGUUUCUACGUCUUAGAAGAGGCAAGUCGUAACAUGGUAAGUGUACUGGAAAGUGCGCUUGGAAUAUA